rnacentral:rRNA from 1 species
AUACGUAGGGGGCGAGCGUUGUCCGGAAUGAUUGGGCGUAAAGGGCGCGUAGGCGGCCUGUUAAGUCUGGAGUGAAAGUCCUGUUUUCAAGAUGGGAAUUGCUUUGGAUACUGAUGGGCUUGAGUGCAGGAGAGGUUAUCGGAAUUCCCGGUGUAGCGGUGAAAUGCGUAGAGAUCGGGAGGAACACCAGUGGCGAAGGCGGGUAACUGGACUGCAACUGACGCUGAGGCGCGAAAGUGUGGGGAGCAAACAGGAUUAGAUACCCUGGCAGUCCACACUGUAAACGAUGAAUGCUAGGUGUAAGAGGUAUCAACCCCUUUUGUGCCGGAGUUAACACAAUAAGCAUUCCGCCUGGGGAGUACGGCCGCAAGGUUGAAACUUAAAGGAAUUGACGGGG